rnacentral:rRNA from 1 species
GUGGGGAAUAUUGCACAAUGGGGGAAACCCUGAUGCAGCGACGCCGCGUGGGUGAAGAAGUAAUUCGUUACGUAAAGCCCUAUCAGCAGGGAAGAAAAUGACGGUACCUGAGUAAGAAGCCCCGGCUAACUACGUGCCAGCAGCCGCGGUAAUACGUAGGGGGCAAGCGUUAUCCGGAUUUACUGGGUGUAAAGGGAGCGUAGACGGAGCGCCAAGUCUGGAGUGAAAUGCCGCGGCUUAACCGCGGAACUGCUUUGGAAACUGGCGCGCUUGAGUGCGGGAGGGGUAAGCGGAAUUCCUAGUGUAGCGGUGAAAUGCGUAGAUAUUAGGAGGAACACCGGUGGCGAAGGCGGCUUACUGGACCGUAACUGACGUUGAGGCUCGAAAGCGUGGGGAGCAAACAGGAUUAGAUACCCUAGUAGUCC